rnacentral:rRNA from 1 species
UUUAUUGGAGAGUUUGAUCCUGGCUCAGGAUGAACGCUGGCGGCGUGCCUAAUACAUGCAAGUCGAGCGAAUGGAUUAAGAGCUUGCUCUUAUGAAGUUAGCGGCGGACGGGUGAGUAACACGUGGGUAACCUGCCCAUAAGACUGGGAUAACUCCGGGAAACCGGGGCUAAUACCGGAUAACAUUUUGAACUGCAUGGUUCGAAAUUGAAAGGCGGCUUCGGCUGUCACUUAUGGAUGGACCCGCGUCGCAUUAGCUAGUUGGUGAGGUAACGGCUCACCAAGGCAACGAUGCGUAGCCGACCUGAGAGGGUGAUCGGCCACACUGGGACUGAGACACGGCCCAGACU